GAGUUGGUAGCUCAGUGGUAGGGUGCAUGUUUGGUAUGUAUGAUGUCCUGGGUUCAAAUUUCAGUUCAGUUA